rnacentral:rRNA from 1 species
UUAUCGUAUCCUGGGGCUGUACAAGGUCCCAAGGGUCCGGCUGUUCGCCGGUUAAAACGGUACACGAGCUGGGUUUAGAACGUCGUGAGACAGUUCGGUCUCUAUCUGGUGUGGGCGCACGAUACUUGAAGAGGAUCUCUCCCUAGUACGAGAGGACCAGGAGAGACGGACCUCUGGUGUUCCAGUUAUCCUGCCAAGGGUAAUAGCUGGGUAGCCACGUCCGGAAAGGAUAAGCACUGAAAGCAUAUAAGUGCGAAGCCCCCCUCAAGAUAAGGUAUCGUUUUCCUUCGGGAAUGAAGACACCUUGUAGACAACAAGGUUGAUAGGCUGCAUGUGUAAGACCUGUGAGGGUUUUAGCUAAGCAGUACUAAUCUGUCAAAUGCUUGACCUU